UACAGAGGGGGCAAGCGUUGUUCGGAAUUACUGGGCGUAAAGGGCGCGUAGGUGGCCUCAUAAGUCCGCUGUGAAAGUCAAAGGCUCAACCUUUGAAAGCCGGUGGAUACUGUGGGGCUAGAGUACGGAAGAGGCGAGUGGAAUUCCUGGUGUAGCGGUGGAAUGCGCAGAUAUCAGGAGGAACACCAAUAGCGAAGGCAGCUCGCUGGGACGUUACUGACACUGAGGCGCGAAAGCGUGGGGAGCGAACAGG
rnacentral:rRNA from 1 species